rnacentral:rRNA from 1 species
CAGCAGCCGCGGUAAUACAGAGGAUGCAAGCGUUAUCCGGAAUGAUUGGGCGUAAAGCGUCUGUAGAUGGCUUUUCAAGUCCGCCGUCAAAUCCCAGGGCUCAACCCUGGACAGGCGGUGGAAACUACCAAGCUGGAGUACGGUAGGGGCAGAAGGAAUUUCCGGUGGAGCGGUGAAAUGCGUAGAUAUUGGGAGGAACACCAGUGGCGAAGGCGGCUUUCUGGACUGCAACUGACGCUGAGGCUCGAAAGCCAGGGGAGCGAACGGGAUUAGAUACCCCCGUAGUCCCUGUCUCUUAUAC